rnacentral:rRNA from 1 species
AUCCUACGGGAGGCAGCAGUGGGGAAUAUUGCACAAUGGGCGCAAGCCUGAUGCAGCCAUGCCGCGUGUAUGAAGAAGGCCUUCGGGUUGUAAAGUACUUUCAGCAGUGAGGAAGGUGGGUAUGUUAAUAGCAUAUUCAUUUGACGUUAGCUGCAGAAGAAGCACCGGCUAACUCCGUGCCAGCAGCCGCGGUAAUACGGAGGGUGCGAGCGUUAAUCGGAAUUACUGGGCGUAAAGCGCAUGCAGGUGGUUUGUUAAGUCAGAUGUGAAAGCCCGGGGCUCAACCUCGGAAUUGCAUUUGAAACUGGCAAACUAGAGUACUGUAGAGGGGGUAGAAUUUCAGGUGUAGCGGUGAAAUGCGUAGAGAUCUGAAGGAAUACCGGUGGCGAAGGCGGCCCCCUGGACAGAUACUGACACUCAGAUGCGAAAGCGUGGGGAGCAAACAGGAUUAGAUACCAUGGUAG